rnacentral:rRNA from 1 species
GAUGAACGCUAGCGGGAGGCUUAAUACAUGCAAGUCGAACGGUAACAGGUCUUCGGAUGCUGACGAGUGGCGCACGGGUGAGUAACGCGUACGUAUCUACCUUGUACACGGGGACAUACACUGGAAACGGAGUAAAUACCCGAUAGUCUGGAAACAGUAAAGCUACGGCGGUACAAGAUGGGCGUGCGUCUGAUUAGCUAGAUGGUGAGGUAAUGGCUUACCAUGGCGAUGAUCAGUAGGGGGCGUGAGAGCGUGAUCCCCCACACGGGUACUGAGACACGGACCCGACUCCUACGGGAGGCAGCAGUAAGGAAUAUUGGACAAUGGGCGGAAGCCUGAUCCAGCCAUCCCGCGUGUAGGAUGACUGCCCUAUGGGUUGUAAACUACUUUUAUAUGAGAAGAAGCGCCUUUCUGCGGAAGGGUUUGACGGUAUCAUAUGAAUAAGCACCGGCUAACUCCG